GACGAACGCUGGCGGCGUGCUUAACACAUGCAAGUCGAACGAAGUGGCGAACGGGUGAGUAACGCGUAAUCAACCUGCCCUUCAGAGGGGGACAACAGUUGGAAACGACUGCUAAUACCGCAUACUGAGGGAGGGGAUUGCGUCUGAUUAGCUGGUUGGGGGGGUAACGGCCCACCAAGGCGAUGAUUGGUAGCCGGUCCGGGAGGGGGGACGGCCAAAUUGGGACUGGAGCACGGGCCAAACUCCUACGGGAGGGCGCCGUGGGGAAUCUUCCGAAAUGGGCGAAAGUCUUACGGAGGAACGCCGCGGGAGUGAUGACGGCCUUCGGGUUGUAAAGCUCUGUUAAUCGGGACGCGGUACCGGAAUAGAAAGCCACGGCUAACUACGUGCCAGCCGCCGCGGUAAUUC
rnacentral:rRNA from 1 species